UUCCAACUCAAAUUCAAUUUAUUGCAACUUAUACACCUGAACAGAUUAAAUAUAUAUUUUUACAAUGAAUAUAUAUAAAGCAAUAUAAAGAUCAGAAACACUAUUACACUAUUAAUACAUGUAACAAAGUUAAAAUGCACUAAAUAUAUUAAGAUCUUCCGAAGAAAAUUUUCAGAUUCUUUCGGCUUAGUCUGAAGGCCGAGGUCACCGCACUACACAACGAUUUAAACGAUACGAUAUUCAUAGGCGUACCGGGCGGGGGGGGCGGUAGCCCCCCCAGUUUUUUGGGCAGUCGGGCAAUAUUCGAUCAACAGUCGGGCAAUUUUGGUUUGCAAUAAAAAAAAAUGGGACAAAUUCUGUCAAUGUUGUCUAAAAUGAAGUCAAUUUUUUGGCAAAUUUUGUGAUUUUUCGAAAAUUUGUGUGAUGUUCCGAAAAAUAUUGG
rnacentral:lncRNA from 1 species